UUUUUUUUUUUUUUACCUUAGGGAGAGGACCCUAUCACACUGUCAGCAGAGAGCCCAACGCGGGGCUCGAACUCAAAGACUGCAAGAUCAUGACCUGAGCCAUAGUCAGAUGCUCAACUGGCUAAGCCAUCCAAGCGCCCCUAAAUUUAUUUAUCUUGAGAGAGGGAGAGAGCACUGGCGGGGUAGAUAGAGGGAAAGAGAGAGAGAGAGAGAGAGAGAGAGAGAGAGAAUUGUGAGCAGGCUUUUUGCUGUCAGUGCAGAGCCUGAAAUGGGGCUCCAACCCCCAAACCAUGAGACCAUGACCUAAACCAAAAUCCAGAGUCAGACACUUAACUGACAGAGCCACCCAGGUGCCCCUGUCUUUUCUUUUUUUUAAGUUUAUUUAUUUAUUUGGACAGAGAGAGAGAGAGAAAGAGUGCAUGAGCAAGGGAGGGACAGAAAGAGAGAGAGAAUAUACCAAACAGGCUCUUUGCUGUCAGCUUGGAGCCUGACAUGGGGCUCUAUCCCAUGAACCGUGAGAUCAUGACCUGAGCCGAAAUCAAGAGUCAGAUGCCUAACUGACAGAGCCACCAGACACCCCUAGUAUCUUUUUGAUCAUUGCCAUCCUUAGUGGGUAUGAAGUGGUAUCUUACCGUGGUUUUGAUUUGCAUUUUCCUGAUGGCUAGUGACCUCGAGCAUCUUUUCAUGUUUUGUCCAUUUGCAUAUCUUCACUAGAGAAAUGUUUAUUCAGAUUCUGUGCCCAUUUUAAACUGAGUUAUCUUGGGAUGCCUGGGUGGCUCAGUCAGUUAGGCAUCUGACUUUGGCUCAGGUCGUGAUCUUGCAAUUUGUGAGUUUUAACCCCCACAUUGGGCUUUCUGCUGUCAAUUUAGAGCCUGCUUGGAAUUCUCUGUCUCCCUCUUUCUCGGUCCCUACCCAGCUUGCACACACAUGCACUCUCAUCCUCUCUCUCUCUCUUUCAAAAAUAAAUAAACAUUUAAAAAAUUAAAAAUACAUAAAUAAAUUGGGUUAUCUUAUUUUUUUAUUGUGGCAAAACAUAUAUAACAUAAAGUUUACCAUUUUAACCAUUUAUAACUGUACAUUUCUGUGGCAUUAAGUAUAUUCAUAUUGUUAUGCAACCAUCACCACCAUCCGUUUACAGAACUUCUUCAUCUUCCCCAACUGAAACCAUACCAAUUAAAUACUAACUCUCUCUUCUCUCUCCCCAGUCUCUAGCAACCACCAUUCAGUGUUCUGCCUCUAUGCAUUUGACUAUUCUAGAAACCUCAUGUAAGUGGGAUCUUAUAAUAUUUGUCCUUUUGUGACUAACUUAUUUUCCUUAGCAUAAUAACUUGAAGACUCAUCUAGGUUGUAGCAUAUGUCAACGUAACCUUCCUUUUUAAGGCUGAAUAAUAGGGUACUUGGCAAUCAAAAGAAUGAAAUCUUAUCAUUUGCAACAACAUGGAUAGAACUAGAGUGUACUAUGCCAAGCAAAAUAAGUCAGAGAAAGAUAAAUAUCAUAUGAUUUAACCAAUAUGUGGAAUUUAAGAAACAAAACAGAUAGGGGAAGGGAAGGAAAAAUAAGAUAAAAAGAAAGAGUGAGGCAAACCAUAAGAGACUCUUAAAUACAGAGAACAAACUGAGGGUUGCUGGAGGGGUGUUGGGUGGGGGGAUGGGCUACAUGGGUGAUGGGCAUUAACGAGGGCACUUGUGGGGUGCCUGGGUGGGUCAGUCGGUUAAGCAUCCAACUUUGGCUCAGAUCAUGAUCUCAUGGUUUGUGAGUUCAAGCUCUGCGUUGGGCUCUGUGCUGACAGCUCAGAGCAUGGAGCCUGUUUCGGAUUCUGGGUCUCCCUCUCUCUGCCCCUCCCCCACUCACACUCUGUCUCUAUCUCGAACAAAAAUAAACAUUAAAAAAAUAAUAAAAUAAUUUUUAAAAAAGGAGGACACUUAUUGAGAUGAGCACUGGGUGUUAUAUGUAAGUGAUGAAUCACUAAAUUCUCCUGAAACCAUUAUUACACUACAUAUUAACUAACUUGGAUUAAAUAAAAUUUUUUAAAAGGCUGAAUAAUAGGGGUGCCUGGGUGGCUCAGUUGGUUAGGCAUCCAACUCUGAUCCGGCUCAGGUCAUGAUCUUGGGGUUUGUGAGACUGAGCCCUGCAUUGGGAUCUGCGCUGACAGCAUGGAGCCUGCUUGGGAUUCUCUCUCUCUCUCUCUCUCUCUCUCUCUCUCUCUCUUCUCCCCCCCAACCCCUCCCCCACUUGCACUCAUGUGUUCUCUCUCUCUCAAAAUAAAUAAAUAAACUGAAAAAAAGGCUGAAUAAUAUUCCAUUGUAUGUAUAUACCACAUUUUGUUUAUUCAUUCGUUUUUAAUUUUUUUUAAUGUUUAUUUUUGAGAGAGACAGCAUGCAAGCGGGGGAGGGGCAGAGAGAGAGAGGGAGACAGAAUCCGAAGUAGGCCCUGAGCUCCGAGCUGUUAGCACAGAGCCCGAUGCGGGGCUUGAACUCAAGAACUGUGAAAUCAUAACCUGAGCCAAAGUCGGGCGCUUAACUGAGUGAGCCACCCAGGUGCCCCUCUCCAUUCAUUUGUGUAUUUGUUGUUUUUUUUUUUAAUUUUUUUAAACAUUUAUUCAUUGUUGAGUGUGAGCAAGGGAGGGGCAGAGAGAAAGGGAGACACAGAAUCUGAAGCAGGCUCCAGGCUUUGAGCUGUCAGCACAGAGCCCAUGCAGGGCUCAAACCCACGAACCUGUGAGAUCAUGACCUGAGCCAAAAUCGGACGCUUAACCAACUGAGCCACCCAGGUGCCCCUGUUUUUGUUUUUGUUUAUAAUAGUCAUCCUAGUGGAUAUGAAGGUGUUAUCUUGUUAUUAUUAGAUUGUAAGAAUUCUUUUUUUUAAGUUUAUUUAUUUUGAGAGAAAGAAAGAACCAGAAAGGGAGGGGCAGGGAGAGAGGGAGACAGAGGAUCUGAAGCAGGCGCCCUGUCCUGACAGCAGACAGCAUAAUUUGGGGCUCGAACUCACAAACCAUAUAUUCAUGACCUGAGUUGAAUCGCAUGCUUAACUAACUGACUGAGCCACCCAGAUGCCCAGAAAGAAUUCUUUAUAUAUUCUAGAUACAAGCCUUUUAUCAGAUAAAUGAUUUGCAAAUAUUUUCUCCUGUUCCAUAGGUUGUCUUUUCACUUUCUCGAUGGUAUCAUUUGAGGAACAAAAGUUAAUUUUGAUGAAAAUGGAUUCAUCUAUUUUUAAUUCUUUUGCUAGUGUUUUGUUGUCAUAUCUAGGGCUCCAUUGCCAAAUCCAAGGUCAGGAAAAUUUAUACCUGUUUUCUUAUAAGAAUUGCAUAUUUUCUUUAUUUUUUAAUGUUUUUUAAACAUUCAAUGUAGGGCUUGAACUCAUAACCCCAAGAUCAAGAGUUGCAUGUUGUACUGACUGGGCAAGCCAGGCACCCUAAGAAUUUUAUAUUUUUCAGCUCUUUGAUAAAUUUUGAGUUAAUUUUUUUAAGUAGGCUCCAUGUCCAAUGUGGGGCUUGAACUCACGACCCCAAGAUAAGAGUGGAAUCCUCCACCUACUGAGCCAGCAUGAUGUCCCAAUUUUGAGUUAAUUUCUUAAAAAUUAAAAAAAAAUGUUUUUAAAAAAUUUUUAAUGCUUAUUUGUUUUUCAGAGAGAGAGCAUGAGUGGGGGAGGGUCAGAGAGAGAGGGAGACACAGAAUCCAAAGCAGGCCCCAAGCUCUGAGCUGUCAGCAGAGCCUGACACGGGGCUUGAACCCCCAGACCGUGAGAUCAUGACCUGAGCCGAAGUUGGACACUUAACCGACUGAACCACCCAGGCGCCCCUUUGGUCUUCUUUUUCAAGAUUGUUUUGACUAUUCUAGGUCCCUUGAACCUCCAUACGAAUUUUAGAAUCAGCUUGUCAGUUUCUGCAAAGAAGACAGCUAGAAUUUUAAGGGUUGCCUUAUGUCUACAGAUCCAUUUGGAGAAUAUUGCCAUCUUAACAAUACCAAGGCUUCUGAAUCAAAAACAUGGGAUAGCUUUCCAUUUUUUAAAGUCUUUAAUUUCUUUCAACAAUAUUUUUAAAAAGAUUUCUAAUGUCUUAUUUUAUUUUUGAGAGAGAGACAGAGUGCAUGCAGGGGAGGGGCAGAGAGAGAGGGAGACACAGAAUCUGAAGCAGGCUCCGAGCUGUCAGCAUGGAGCCCGAUGUGGGUCUCAAACUCAUGAACCAGGAGAUCGUGACCUGAGCUGAAGUCGGAAGCUUAACUGACUGAGCCACCCAGGUGCCCCUGCUCUUCUUUUGAUAAACCUAUUACUAAAUAUUUUUUUGAUGUGUUUAUAAAUAGAAUUUUUAAAUAUCAUUUUUGAGGACGCUUGGGUGGCUCAGUCAGUUAAGCAUUCAACUUCAGUUCCAAUCAUGAUCCCAUGGUUUGUGGGUUCAAGCCCCACAUCAGAUCCUCUUCAGAUCCUCUGUUCCCCCUAUCUAUGCCCCUCCCCCAUCAAAAAUAAAUAGACAUUAAAAAAAUAAAUUUCAUUUUUGGUUUAUUGUUUCUGUAUAGAAAUACAAUUGAUUUUGGUAUAUUGAUUUUGUACCCUGCAACUUAGCUUAUUAGUUAUUAGAACUUACCUAUUCUGUUGGUUUUUAAAGUUAAUAUAUUUUGAGAGAGAGAGAGAGUACAAGCAGGGGAGGGACAGAGGGAGAGAGAGAGAGAAUUCCAAGUAGGCUCCACACUGUCAGUGCAGAGCCCCACGCAGGGCUCGAACUCACAAACUGAGAGAUCGUGACCUGAGCCGAAACCAAGAGUUGGAUACUUAACCGACUGAGCCACCCUAGUGCCCCUACUUCUUCUUGUCCAAUACAGAUGCAUCUUAUUUGUUUCUCUUGCCUAAUUGUUCUACCUCAAGCUUCCAAUGUUGCAUAGGAGUGGUAAGAGUAGACAUCCUUGUCUUGUUUCUAAUUAUAGGUGCAAAGUAUUCAGUUUUUCAUGAUUAAGUAUGAUGUAAUUGUGGAUUUUUUAUAGUUCUUAAGGACUGCCUCUCCUCCUAUGCUGAAUCUCUGAACCUCUACUCUGGAGAUCUGGACAGGGACAGUGAUAAGACGAUGUGGUCAGCUAUAAAAACUCUGUACCCCGACUCUGGUCAAGAGUGUCGAUCCCUAUCCAUCGGUUUGCCUUGCCUCUCAUUGCAAUAAAGUUUGUUGUGACUGUCA